ACCAAAUGAACCAUGCACUGUUGGAGAGAAUUUUGUGAGACUUAUGAUAGAAAAUAAGCUAUAAUUAUAGAAUUAAUCAGAAUGGAUUUGGUUAGGAAGGACCUUAAAGGGCAUCUAGUUCCAGUCACCCUGCUGUGGUCAGGGAUGCCAUUCACUGUGUCUGUUCUUCCAACCUGGCCCUGAACACUUCCAGGGAUAUGACAUCCACAACUUCUCUGGGCAAAUUGUUCUAGUGUUUCACCAUCCUCUGAUUAAAGAAUUUAUUCCUAAUAUCUAAUGUAAAUCUACACUUUGUUUGAUAUCAUUACCCCUUUGUUACACCUCAAUCUCUUAAAUCCAGGGCUAAACCCGGGCAGACGCAAAGGAGGAAUACUGACCAGAUAUCCUCAAAAGGUAAAAAUCAGACAAAAUUUUAUUGCCAAAUUAUGGAAAACCAAAGAACUUUGGCAAAUUAUUUAGUACAACACAGCACAGACUUAGCAGAUUGAACAAAGAAACCUUUAACCCAUUCGAUGUCAUGAUGUUACAUACAAAGAGCGUUAGAAGGAGAGAAAAACAGACAGGAAAAUGUAGAAAAACAGUCGUAGCUACCAACUCCUGGGUUCCAGCAAUAUAACAAGUGGAAAACUCUGAGAUGAAGGCAGGGUGAAAGAACAACAUGCUUGUCUCGUGGUCAGCCUUCUUGAAAUCUUGACCCAUCCUGGGCCUUCCAGCCACUCAGCCACUUAGGGGCUGGCUCAGACAACACUGUGGGGCUGCCUCCACUGUGCUGUGAUUGACAAACAUGGAGGGGCUGAGGGAUACAGGGGGCAGGGCACCACCUCACUAGAUCAAGGCCUGACCCAUGCCCUACCAUACUUUCCAAGAUGUCUCUAAACAGAUCCCCUUUUCCUUUCUCUGACACAAGUCUCUCUCCUUCCUUUAUGUCAACUGUCUUAAGGUAUUGGAAGGCAGCAAUGUGGUCUCCCAAAGUCUUCUCUUCUGCUGGUUUAACCACCCUUGCUGUCUCAGCUUGUCUUCACAGCAGAGGUGCCCCAUACUCUGAUCUUUUUCAUGGCCUUCUCUGGACCCUCUCUAAUAGAUCCAUAUCUUUCAUGUCUUGGGGAUCCCAGAGAUGGACAGAGUGCUCCAGGUAGGGUCUCACAGCAGCUAAAAGAGGGGCAGAAUCAUCUUUCCUGACCUGCUGGCCACAUCUUGUCUUAUGCAACCUCAGAUGUACUUUGCCUGCUGGACUGUGGGUAAACAGUUGCCUCAUAUCCACUUGUUUAUCUGCAAGAACCUCCAAAUCCCUCUCUGCAGGAAUUCUUUCAAUAAAACUUCCAUGACACAAGCACAGCACCUUGAACUUGUUGAAUUUCAUGAAAGCCUCAUGGGCCCACUUCAGCUUGUCUAGGUGCCCAGAUGGCAUCCCCUUCUUCUGUUGUGUCAAAUGUUGCUGCCUGCACUGUUCACUCAGCUUCAUGUUAUUUGCAAACUUUCUGGGUGGGCACUUGUUUCCACUGUCAAUGUCAUCAGAUCCCAUAGCUUGUGGCUGUUUAACACCAUCAAGAGAUCCUGAACCUGCUACUUGCUUUUAGUGGUAGGGACUUCACUCCCCACACACCCAUGCAGAGGAUCAGGGACUUGAGAGAAGUAGGAAGCCUGACACCAAAGACUGAGGAAAAACUCCUUGAGUGCUUCAGUGUUCCUAUUAGUUGCCACCAGUUUACCUUUCCUGUUUCUCAGGGAGGUACAUUGUCCUUGGCCUUCCUUUUGUGAUCUGUGUACUUUUAGAAUACCUUUUUUUAAUUCUUCAUGUCACUUGUCCAGUCCUGCUCUAGCUUUGCCUUGGCUUUCCUAGCCGCAUCCCUACAUAGUCAAAACAUAUCCCUGUGCUCUAUCCAGGUCACUUCUUUCUGCUUCCACUGUCUGCGUUUUUCUUACUGCUCAGUUUGAGUAGCAGAUCCUUGCCCAGCCAUGACAGUUUCAGGCCUGCCUUGUUUCCAUUUCCUACACAUUAGGACACAGAGCUCUUGUGCUCUAAGAAAAGUGGCCUUAAAGAGCGGCCAGCCUUUUGUCCCUAAGGACACUUUCACAGCGGAUCUCAUUCACCAACUCCUUAAACAGCUGGAAGAUUGGUCUUGCAAAGCUGAGAGUGUUGACUUCACUCAUUAUUUAUCACUUUUGAGGGAUGGGGUUUUUCCUCAGUUUUGUCUUCAUUCUCUCUUCCAGCAGUGACACCCAAUACGGGAACACCAACAAGGUUGCUCAGAGCAUGUCCUGGAAAAGCCAGCACUGCUGCAUCUAUAUAGGCAGCACUACUAUAUGGAUCAGGAUUUGAUGCCAUUUUAUAAAUUGGAGAGAAGAUUUAUCUUGGUAAGCUGAAGACUUGAAGUUGAUUGCAAGGAGGAGGCAUUGCAAGGCUGCUGAGGAAGCAGCAGCAAAACAGCCCCAGUGAAUACUCUUCUGUGCUGUGAGUUUCUAAGUGAAGAGCUGUUCCACUCCUAUGAGUGCUUUGGAGCCCUGCACCAAGCCCUGCCAAGGCUGCCUGCAGUUGAAAGGUGUAUGUUGAAUUUAUGUUGCUGGACAGAGAUAUUCUCCUCAUGCACGACCUGGAUCUGGUGUCUACAGUAGCUUUUCUUUUCUCUAUUUAGUCAUCAUUACAUAUUUACUUACAAGAAAGUCCUCUCUGUUCCUGGGGCAGGGUCUUUGCAGCAGCACAGGAAACUAUGUGCAGCCUUUAGUCAGGAUCAAUUACAAACAUUUUCUACUACAGCACUGCUAUAAAAUUGUAUGACCCUAAAGGCAACCAUCACAGUAAUGACAAGGAAAUUACUUUUUAUUGGAACCAGACAAGUCACACCGAUGUGUUAAGUAAACCAUGAUUUUAUGUAUAUUCUGAGGCCUAUUGGCUUCACAGACAGCAGGAGGGAUAAUGCUUGCAUUUAUAGCCCCCCAGCAUUAAAGAGCAUAUGCUUGCCCAGCUUGUCUGGUAGACACCAGUGGAGUUUUGCCCUUGACAGCUCCUGUUUAUACAGAUGGUUUUAAAAAUGUUACUGGAAGAGAAAACAGCCUGCACUGUAGGAAGCACCUUACAUAGGAGCCAAGACUUAACAAGGAAAACUAUUUUCAUCAUUCUCUCCUGUUCAUCUAGAAAAUUUGAGAAGAAUUUGAAGGUUGGCUAUAAAACUAAAUUUAGACUUAUUUUUGUCUCUUAUAUUUAGACAUGUCAAGUUUUUUUAGCAUGAUAUUUUGAAGAUCCUGUUUAAGCUAUUUAUUAGAGAUCUGAUUAUUUGACUUGUCUAUAUUAGUCAGGUUUUGCAUUCUUCUCCAUGUGGAUAGAAGGAAAUAGUUAGGUGAAUCACCUUCCAUAUCUUUACCCUUGCCUUUGGAUGGAGUGAAUCACUUUCUAGAGAAGCCUAUACCUUCCUGAAGGCUGCAAGGGGAACCGAGCAAAACCAGAAAUAGAUAACUUGUGUGUAGGACCAGUAUUUCAUUCCAGAAUCACAUCAAAGUUAGAGAAAAGAUUCCCAUCACUGUCAGCUGCUAUAGGGCCUCCAUCCUUUGUCAUGUGAACUGACAGCUGUAGGACUACUGCCACCAGUCCUACAACAAUAAUGUGCCCCUGCAAAGUAUGCAUUUCUUAUAAAGGUGCGGGUGGUGGAAGUUCUGGUAGCUGGUUUUCCUGAUCCAGAAUAUGAUUCAUUCUCAUACACUCAUAAAAACAGUCCUAUCCCAGCUGUCUGCAUUUAUAUUUGGUUAAUUUCAAACCCCUACCCUCAAAACAAGCAGAGCAAUACAGAAGACCUGUCACUAACUUUUACCUUUCCACCUGCAGUGAAUGAAGGUACCUGGGAUGAAAUCUGAGCUUUGUGAGACUUUUAACAUUGACUUCAGCAAGACUGAGAGUGUGUCCCAGAAAAGCUCCCCAUUCUGUGGGCUAAAAGCCAAAACUAAAAAAAAAUAGUAUAUAGUAUAACAAUAAAAUAUAUGCAAAUAAUGAAUUACCUAUCUUACAAUUCCUUUAACAUUAGAACAUGCUCACCUCCUCUGCAGGUUCAUUCUAUGUCUUGUCAUUGCAUUUGAGGUGGUGAUAAUACAACGCUGCUGUUUGCUGACAGUUGUUAUUCAACAGCAACAAUAUGUAAGCCAACUUUAACAAGAUGGAGAGAUACAUGAACAGUGACUGAUACAGAAAUGGAAAGAAAGAGUUUUCAGAAACUGACAGGACAUGCCAUUAUCUGGGAUAAUGUAACUUAAAAAACUUAAUAUUUUUCUCAUCUUUAUGAAUUCUAAUGAUAAAAUUAAAUGUUUGUAAAACACAGUAAAUUUGUAAACAAAUGAAACUGCUAUAUUUGGAAAAUUUUUAAGGAUUUUUUAUGUAUGAAUAACAGAGAUAAAGCCAUGUACACACAUCAUCACAUUCAUUAAAUCAUAGAAAUCAAAAGAAAAAAAAGUCUAACCUUAGAAUAGUCAAAAUCAUACCAUAAAACUUGAAACAAUAUUCAAAGAAAGUUUUCCAUAUGUCAGUAAUCAGCAGUGUUGAGGAGAACACGGUUAUCUCAUGUUUAAUAUAUUUUUUUCUUCUACAUUACACAUAUCCUUCCAACAAAUUUUUGCCUGUACAGGUUUUACAGCAACACACCUUUAAAAUGCAAUUUUGUACAAUCUAUUCUAUGAAGUCAAUCUGCAGUGAUUAGAAUUUUUUGAACUAUAGUUGAACUUUAGAUGAAAUGCAAUAAUGACUGUGCUUUUGCAGUACUCUGAUGAAAGCUUUACUGAAACAAAUGGACUUCUUUUCUUUGUUUUAAAUAGAUUUUUAGGUUUGGAAGUAAUUUACUUCAUUAGGGAAGACUGCCUUAGCCUAGGAAAAAUUAUAAUGAAAGAGAUCUAAGAAGUUGUCAUGUUAAAGAUAGAUGUUUGUUUAUUGGGGGAGGGGCCCAAGCCCUGUUCUGAUGAAAGAAGUAAAAAGUAACCAGACAUCACUAGAGCCACAGUGAGUUCAAUUUAUGCACAGAUAUCUGGCCAGUAGCUGCUUUGGUGAAGGUGCUGUAUAGGAUUGGAGUUGUGUCCCUACUGACAGUGUAUUGAGGAGCUGUUGGGUACAACUGAGAGCCAUUUAAAUGCAAAUUUACUGUGAGUUUGUCAUUGACUAAAAACAAUCUUCCAGGCAAUGGCAUUAAUAAUUAGAAACCAUCUGGUACUAUGAAAGCUUACAAUACUUUCAGUAUUUCCACAGGCCAAAAGGAUGUAAUUUAUCUCCUACUAAAAUAGAAACACCUAUGCUAUAUGUUAGUGCUCUGACAAUUAACAUGCAAAAUCAGAUCCAUCUUGAUGUUUUUCCUCUGGGCCAGUCCUGGAAAAUAAAUAAAUAGAAGUCUGGAAAAGAGAGUGCCAUAGACUUCACAAAGGAAGUUUAAGGAGAACGCACAGACAGAGAUGAAUACCUGAAAAGAUGAAAGGAGAUGUGUUGAAAAUGUUGCCUCCUUUUUACCUGAUAAAGUUAUGAGUGACAUAAAGUGAGUUGAUAACUGCUGUCAGAUCGCCUUAAAAAAUUAUGAUCUGAAUUUUCAAUGUUUGGUAUGUAGAACUGGAUUAAAAAUAAAUUAAUGAAUGUAAACAGUUUCUCUUUUCUGGCCCUUAGAAGUUUGGGGCUUGGAAUUUUCAUGCUGUAGAGACCAAAAUGAAAAUGUUCUAGUCUGUCCCUCAAAACUUAAAGUGCCCUUCAUCAUCUUUCUUUUCAAGCUAAUAUUCCCUAAAGAAUGUAUGGGCAGGUUAUUCUCCAUUAAAAAUAAUUCAUAAUAUCACACUUUCAGUCUUCAUUUGAGAGAUCAAGUGAAUACUGAAAAAAGAUAAAUUUAAAUUGGUAAUUACAGUAAUUGUCUUCUUCAACACCAUGUUCACAUGGCAUUUACAAUUGUCAACUUCACUUGGUAGCUUGCAUGAGUUGAAAACUAUACAAAAGUCAGCUUCAAAGUUUAUUAGGGAUAACCAGUUAUUAAGGAUAUGGAAGACAGCAAAAAUUAAGAUAUUUCAUUUUGAGAAUAGCAAAAGAAAUAGCUAUUUCAAUAGCUAGAGAAAUAACAGGAGACACCCACUGUAAGAACAAAAAAUUGCAGUUUUUAUAAACAAUGAAACUGUUGAAACAUCCCAGUGUGCGGUUAUCAAAGAAAAGAGGUGGUGGUUUAUCCUCUGUACUUCUGAUCUGAAUAAUGUCAGUUUCCAGGCUGAACAGUCGACAUCUGCAGACCACCUUAGAGCCUGUGUUUCUCAGACUAGAGUUCUUAGUUUGUUCCUAAACCUUAUUCUUACAUGCACCAAUGUCAUGUCUGUAUUUCCUGUUCUUAUAAUUAAUGGAAUAUUUUCUUUCAAAAACUUAUCUCAGAAAUAAGAUAUGCCAGAAAUAAUGAAACUGAAUGACCAAAAGAGUGAGUAGCAAAUGUAUUGAAUGUGUGUGAAGAGAGUUUAGGUGUCUGUAUGUGUCUGUGUGUAGCAGAUUUCCACAUCUCAGUUCAGGAGCACUAUUUUUCUUUUGUGUAGGUGAGUAUGGCAAUUGGGACUUUCUUUCAAGUUCCCAAGACACAGGGCUUCCUGUGUACUAUUGUACUUUGAAAUAUAUAAGCUCCGAGCAAUGAAACUGAUUUCCUAGGACAAAUCAAUUUGAGACUCUCAGCUGUGAAUCAAAAUAUUUUUUCUGUUUCUGGGUAUAAAUUGUUAGAUUAAGAGGUCUUGAUAUUCUUUUUCUUCUAACAUGCACUGCCCCUAUACAAAAUCAAAAUUUUCUCUCCCUGGUAUUUAUAAAAAAUGUCACUAGACAUUAAUGGGUUGUUUUAUACCCUUACUUCAAUCAUUACACGAUGUAUAAAAAAAUCAAAACCAUUUGCCAACAACAAUGCUUCAUUCAAUAUCCCUUUGUAUAAUAGCUGCCUAAGUAUCUAAUUUUCAUAUGAGAAUCCAUUUGUUGUCUUUUUUGUACAUGAAAGGAAAUAUUUUCCUGUGUGCUUGUGACUUUCAGUAACAAGUAAACUUUAACCAAUGAGACAAACCUACAUAAAUAUUCACUUCACUAUAAUUUUCAGUUCAUUUUCUGUUCCACCUUGUCCAUCAGUAUGGUUUUCUAAUUUCUUUUUCACCUCUCUUCUCAGCUAAUGCAUACACAUUACUUUGAAAAGAGAAACUAGCAAUAAGGUAUUCCAGAUAUGUUUGAAACAGUGAUAAUUUCAUAGAUAACUACAGAGCUAACAUCACUUCAAAGAUUCUUAGAUUCUUAAGAGUGCAGGUCUUAGGUGGUCUGUAGAUAAUACAAAUUUCCAGAGAUAAAACAUAAAUUUUCUACAGAACACUGUCUGAACCAGGAUAAUAUGCAAUUUGCCACACCACAGCGACAUACUUGAAUGAAUUUUUGCAUUUCAUGUUUCUGUAUUCUUUAAAAAAACUCAAAACCAAACCAGAAGUAAAGGAAAAAAGGGGAUUUGUCUUCAGUAGACAACUGAAAAGGAAGUUUAGUGACAGCCCUGCAAUUUGGUCACUUUGAAUUUAUGCUCUGUAAAGCACACAUAGAUUCUUUUUCGAGCUGUAGAUACAACUCAUCAUCCAUAAAGUCCUUAUUUUAUAACAUCACUCACUCACAGAACAGAACCUCCAAUUCCCCGUUCAUAUUUUUCUCAUUACUUUUCUUGCUUGCCAAAGCUGUUGAGAGGUUUAUAGUGUGUAACUAUAAACUGGUUUUUAGUUUAUUUUACUGAAUUAAAAUAUAUUAACAGAAAUGACAGAAAUAAUUUACAGAGCUUAAAGGAAAACAAUUCCAAAAUAUUUUGGCAGUAUCAUAGAAUUUUUUCAAGAAUAUAAAGAUGCAUAUUGUAAGCAUUCUUGUGCAAGUUAGGAAAACAGAUUAAUUACAGAGGGAAAUCUAUAAAUGGUUUUAAUCAGUGUUAUUGCUGAAGUCUAAGAACUAGCAAUAAGAAAAUAAUACAAUGAAGUGAUCAUAUAAAAGAACAAGCUUAACAUUUAUUUAAAAAAUUAUCCAAUAUAAAAGCAAAUUUCAAAAACCAGUGGCCCAAAGUCAACUUCAAAACUGUAUCUAUAAUUUACAUAUAGAGAUUUACAGUUUAACUGCAUUAUAAUCUACAGUCAUAUCAAUUGGAUUUAUAACUUUGGAAAAUGUGAUGGUGAACCUUUCCAGCGUUCAAAUAGAAUUUUUGACCUAUACAGCAUUUUAAAUGGCAAAAAAGGGUCAAAUAAGAUCACAUCAAUCAAGGGAGAUACAAACCAUGACAAGAAUCACCUGGCAA